rfam:Hydrocarboniphaga effusa AP103 245_1, whole genome shotgun sequence.
CAGCCGGCCAGGACGGCCGGCUGAGCUUCGCCGCGACAGGAUGUCGCGUCGAAGCG